GAAAAUGAAAAAUAUAUCAGGGAUUUUAAGUAAAACUUGCAUGGAAUAAACAAUCAGAGCUUCUAACUUAAUAGUAAGAUAACCCCCCUUAGGAGAGCUUCUAACUUGCAUUCAAAGUUUGAGAAAAACUUGUACAUUGAGAUGAAUUAGCAGUCGACCCGUGCAAUCAUUCAACAAGAGAGUGCUCUUUCUUUAGGAAGGCAGGUCAACGUAUCCAAAACUAUUUGUAUUGAGGUAGAAUUUGGAUAUGGCACCAGUUAGUUUCGAACGCAGCUUAAAGACCACGAUCUUGAUGAUCUCUCCUCCACCUGAUUUCGGAAGCAGCUGGAGGGGUGCUUUUAAAAGCUGCUGUGGACGGAGGUUUUAAUGAAUAUUUCCAUCUUUAGAUAAUAAUAUAUAAACCCCUUUGAUUACUUGCAUAUUAUUAAUUUUUUAAGUUACAAUGUUUGUUAUCUCGCACUAUGCUCAACUUAAAUCACUCAAACUCAUCAUACAAUGCAUUUUUUUCAAAAAAAGUGUGUCAAAACAAUAGAUAAUUCACUAACUAAACAUCUUCUGAAGUUUCAUCACAAAUUUCCAUGUUUUUCUACCACUUUCCGUCAUUUUUAUUCCAUUUUUAUCUAUAUUGAUAUUUUCUCGAUAUUUCCACUGAUAUUUCUGUGUUUUUAGACCACCGAUAUUUCCAAAACCCUCUAUAUUUAAAUCCUUAGUUAGAACGUAUAUGCAAGGCUCCAUACCUACCAGCUUGCUUACACUUUCUAAUUGGUUGGCACACCAAGAUGUUUGAUCCGCCAUUGCAGGAGGGUGGGAAGGAAAAGGGGGAAGCGUAAAUCAACCGCCACAAUGGCUAUUGGCGAGUCUACAGGUCCAAAAGUUGAAGCUCUAUUGUAUGUGUUUGUGACAUUGGAUCUACAAAAUAAUAUGUUUACCAGAUUUGAAGCUCUCUAUGUAAUUGUAGUAUUUAUGUCAAUGCGCUUAUAAAGCAUAUAAUUGAAUAACUCUAGGGGCACUUCUGGGAAGGCUUGAGUGAGCGUAUUCUCUAUUUCCUCUCGUGUCUGCAAAAAUUGAAUACAAACAUGUUUUAGAGAAUAGUAAUAUUAAAAAAAUCUAAAACGCAAAUUUAGGUCUAUGUUAAUACCAAAAGUGCAUCUGCUGGUAUUUCCUCUGGUUUCUCCAAUAAUUGAAUCUCUGAUUUCUGCAAUAAUUGAAUGAUAAUAAACGUUAGAGUAGUUUAACAUGAAUUAAAAAGCACUUUUAGGUCAUGUGUAUACCGCAUUUUUCUCCACGAAGUCGUCCCACAUAUGGUCAUUAACAUGACUGAGGGCAUGUCUGAAAAACUCGAGUGCCCCCAGCGCAUUUGGUUCAUAUUCGACUGGUGAAUAACUGUUUUUUUUUUCUUUUUCGGAUAACUGUAAAGCUUUUUCUUUUUGGUCGGAAGGAUAACUGUAAACCUUAGAGAAAGCAAAGGCACCACGACCAGUUCCAGAAAUGAUUUUAUCAAAGUCAACGUUUUCUCUCGUUAUAAGCUUUUUGUAAUUGUUUUUCCAACCUUUUUUCCCAACGUCAAGAUGUGUAUAGAGACGGAAUAUAACCACGGCUACUUCGUGAGACGAUAAUAGUAAGGGAUGCCACUGUAGUUGCUUAAAAUAGAACCUGCACUUAAUGAAAGAGAGUAAGAGGUGAGAAUAUUGGCUUUCCAAGUAAUUCACACCACAUAUUUCAUGUGCCUUGAUUGAAAGCAGGUUCGUCCUCUUCUUGGGAAAGUGUUUUAGUAUGUUAGGGUGAACCCAAAUACUACUCAAUCCUCAUAACUAAAGAGAACUCUAUUUGGGUUUUUAUAUUGAACAUGUUUAAGUUGAACUACGUUACGUCUGCAUUUCUUUUUAGGUUGUAUUAUUUCAUCUGUGGGUGUGUGAAUUUGCCUUCUUAAUGCAUGAUCCUAUAUGAAUAAAAUAAGUUAUCAGGAGCUUGCUUACCAAGGUAUGCAUUGUUCUAGCAUUUCGAAAAAAUGCUUUGACACCAUGGGACAAGGAGCUUCCCAUGUAUCAACCACCUCUGAUGCCAAUGUUUGAAAUUGUUCACGAUAGCUUGGCAUGGCCGGGUUGUAUUUAUGUGGUAUACCCCGAAUCUCAACCUCCAGAUUCUCAGCCCCAUUGCCAAUUACGAAGAUAUUUUCACCAGUCAAGCGCCCAUGUGUUAUGCCUUUAGACCCCAAAUGAGCAACUUUCCCCGCGAGACUUCUGAAAAGGGAAUAAGGUUAAUAAUAGCAUUAAAUAAAGGGGGAAUGCUAUAAAUCUUCUCUCUAACUUUCUCCUUUGAACCUUCUCUCUUUUCCUCAUAACAUGUGUCACAUUUCUUACAUUUAAUACAAUGUCAUCAAUGCAUCACGCAAUAUAAUUUUUGUUUUUCAA